rnacentral:lncRNA from 1 species
AGGUAAUGGAUGGUUCAUGAACGGAUUCUUCCCCCCCACAACAGGCUUUAAGUGAAAGUGCUGAAUACUAUACAUGAAAAUGGGCCCCUUGAGGAAGUCACACAAUUACCAACACAGAUGGGUCAAGCCAGCUGAGAAAAGUCCCAUUAAAAAGAGUGGCAGCAGGUAAACUACAGAGUGUAUUGGAUUUCCAUCCCAACCAGUAACCACUAUCUGGCGUUGCCUUGGCUCCACUCUCUGCGGCUGGACUUCCACGUCACCUCUCCAGUCUAUCCCUCAGAUAUUAUUGCUCGCUAUCACAAAGGAUGCACUGCAAACUAAAGCUGGAUCCCAGGGUGGAAUGACUGGAUCAUGCAUGCCAAUGUAA